rnacentral:lncRNA from 1 species
UCCGGCAGCGAUUUCAAUUUCUCACAAAAGAAAAUGGAUAAGGACUUUACUUGUGGCAUGAUUGUAAUAUCUUCUUUUCCAAAAUCCCACUCUUCCAAUUGUAGCAUAAUCCCUAAGUCGAGUUUUUCUAAUUUAGGAAAGGCAACAAUUGAUGAAGAUGAAGAUGAUGAAAAGGUGCCAUGAAUAUGAUUAUGAUCGCAAAUCCCUAUUCCUAAAAAUUCAUCACCCACUUUUUUCACACUCACCAUUUCCUCUAUUCUGAGUAUUUCAAGGGACGGUAACUUCCCUAAAGGAGGCAUAAUCUUACAUCUAGGGCAGAAUACGAGAUCUAACCUCUUCAGCUUGUCCAAUGACGCUGUCCAAUUAUCUUUCAAUUCCAAGUUAGAAUUUAUGCAAAACUAACACAUAACGAAUUAAUUUAUCUUUUCUAUCUUUUUUUAUGAAAAAAUAUUUAAGAGCAACAUGAUUUAUAAAUAUAAUUAUUUUAUAACUAAUGAGAUAAAAUUAAAAUUUCUCUAAUACAAAUACUAUUACUAAUAUUUCUUUUUCAGUGGUUGAAUAAGGUAAAUGGUAGCUCAUUGCUGCUGUCAUCGAGAUCAACGAGAAGGGCCUCCUUGUUCAUAUCUACGAGAAAUUAGGAUGUUUGGAAUGUGGGAGAUCUUUGACCAGUCCUUUCCUGUGUCUUUUUUGAAAUUUUCUUCGACAAUAGGCACGUCAGUAAUCUCUAGUGAUUCCAGUGUUGUGCUCCGAAGAAGUUGGUCCGGCAGCGAUUUCAAUUUCUCACAAAAGAAAAUGGAUAAGGACUUUACUUGUGGCAUGAUUGUAAUAUCUUCUUUUCCAAAAUCCCACUCUUCCAAUUGUAGCAUAAUCCCUAAGUCGAGUUUUUCUAAUUUAGGAAAGGCAACAAUUGAUGAAGAUGAAGAUGAUGAAAAGGUGCCAUGAAUAUGAUUAUGAUCGCAAAUCCCUAUUCCUAAAAAUUCAUCACCCACUUUUUUCACACUCACCAUUUCCUCUAUUCUGAGUAUUUCAAGGGACGGUAACUUCCCUAAAGGAGGCAUAAUCUUACAUCUAGGGCAGAAUACGAGAUCUAACCUCUUCAGCUUGUCCAAUGACGCUGUCCAAUUAUCUUUCAAUUCCAAGUUAGAAUUUAUGCAAAACUAACACAUAACGAAUUAAU